UCUCCGCAAGAAUUAAAGCUGAUAAUGGAUGCCUAGGGCAUGUUUGCCGAGGAAGGACGCAUAUGGUAGCGAUAUUCGUCGGGGAGGAGCCAUACUCCGUAUGAUCCGGCGGUUUCCGAAUGGAGAAAUCCCUUUAUCCUAAAGAUAAAGACUGUAUUAUAAAUACGGUUCGCACCAUGAUUAUAAAAUUUAUAACUGUUAUAAAAAUUAUAAUUAGGGUGCGGACUGGAAUAGUAAUACAGAGGGCACCACCUGAACUGAAACAUCUCAGUAGGGUGAGGAAAAUAAAUCAAUUGAGAUUCCGCAAGUAGCGGCGAGCGAAAACGGAAAAGUCUAAACUUGUGCAUAGCACAAGAAAAUUCGAAAUUCGAAUAUCGAAAUCCGAAACAAAUUCAAAUGUUUAAAUAUUAAAAUUUUUUGAAUUUAUAUAUUGUUUCUGAUUUCGUAUUUCGUGCUUAGGAUUUUCUCAUGCUGUGCAUGAGUGUUGCAGGGCUUCUGAUAUGGGAUGUGAACUUAUGAUAAAAGAACGCCUUGGAAUAGGCGGCCAAAGAACGUGAAAGCCGUGUAUUUGAAAUUAUAGUUCCCCCUAAGGAGUUCCUAAGUACCAUGGGACACGAAGGUCCUGUGGGAAUCCGGGUCCACCACGAUCCAAGACUAAAUACAACCAUGCACCGAUAGUGAACGAGUACCGUGAGGGAAAGGUGAAAAGCACCCCGGAAGGGGAAUGAAAUAGUACCUGAAAUUAUCAGCUAACAAACAGCGAGAGCUUGUGCGUGGCACAAGAAUUUUCAAUUUUAAAUUUUCAAUUUUCAAUAGUUCCGCCUGUGGCGGAAUUAAGUUUGAGAUUUCAAAUUUGUAGUUUCUUUGAAAAUUGUGAUUUGAUAUUUGGAAUUUCUCGUGCUGCGCAUGAGUAAUCGCGUGCCUAUUGAAGAAUGAACCGGUGAGUUACCGUGCAAAGCAAGCCUAAUCACGUUUCAACGUGUGGAGGCGCAGUGAAAGCGAGGCCUAAUCGGCCGACAUAGUUUUGAACGGUAGACCCGAAACCAGGUGAGCUAACCAUGAGCAGGGUGAACCCCGAUGAAAAUCGGGGGAAGGCCCGAACUCGUCAAUGUUGCAAAAUUGUGAGAUGACUUGUGGUUAGGGGUAAUAUGCCUAUCGAACCUGGAGAUAGCUGGUUCUCCCCGAAAUAUAUUUUGGUAUAGCGGUGAGUCAUGCGGCGAAGGGGUAGAGCACUGAAUGAUUUGCGUUUCCUUACGGGAAUUCUUAUCAAUCAAACUCCGAAUACUUUCGUCGUUAUCUCACUAGUCAGACGUGCGGGGCUAAGCUCGUGCGUCAAAAGGGAAACAACCCAGACUCUCAUCUAAGGUCUCUAAACAAUACUCAGUGGUUAAGGAAGUCGUGAUUUUAAGACACCCAGGAAGUUGGCUCAGAAGCAGCCAUCUUUUAAAGAACGCGUAACAGCGCACUGGAUGAAAGUCGCGGCGCCGAAAAUGAACGAGGCUCAAGUAUUGUACCGAAGAUAGAGGGGGGUACCGUCCGGUACCCCCGGUAGGGGAGCGUUCUUAUUGCGGUGAAGGUCACCUCGUAAGGGGGGCUGGAGCGAUAAGAAGUGAGAAUGCCGGUAUGAGUAGCGUUUGGAAGUGAGAAUCUUCCAUGCCGAAUGCGCAAGGUUUCCGAAGCAACGUUCGUCGACUUCGGGUUAGUCGGAUCUAAGGCGAGGCCGUCAAUUGGCGGCGUAGCUCGAUGUAUAAACGGUUUAUAUUCCGUUACUAUAAUGUGUCGAUUAAGACUCAAAGGGGUGACAAUGGAGGAUUUGUCUGUGCCCCGCAACCGCGGGGUCUAAGCGUCAAGACAGUGAAGAUUGGGAAAUCCGUUUUCAUGUUUAAUCGAGGCGUAGGGAAGUCCAAGGGGAAACCUGCGGGCAAUACAGAUCGUUUUCUAUUCGAGAAAAGUCUCGUUGAGGAGCACAUGAUAUCCGUACCGCACACCGACACUGGUGCGCUGGUAGAGAAUACUAAGGCAAGCGGGCGACAGCAGUUUAAGGAACUCGGCAACAAAAACUAGGCGUAACCUUUGGGAGAUGCCUUGCCCCGACGUAACGUCGGGGUCUCAGUAAACGACACUAUGCAACUGUUUAACUAAAACACAGGUCUCUGCGAAGCCGAAAGGCAACGUAUAGGGGCUGACACCUGCCCAGUGCCGGUAAGUUAAAAAUGGUUGGUGACCUUCGAAAGUUGGAAGCUAGCUUUUUAAGCUCCGGUGAACGGCAGCAGUAACUAUAACUGUCGACUAUAGGGCAGUUACAAAAUUUGGCCAUAUGCUGGAAUAUCUGUUCUGAAAAAGAUAGAGUAUCUCACACUAGAUGUGUUUGAUAGAAUAAUAAUAUGAACAUAUCUGACAAUGUGUUGAGUGCAGACAAUCAGCAGGAAAGAUUGAGAUGUAUGAAUGAAAAAGAUAAUGAUGGUUUGAUACGAAAAUGGGGAUUUGGCGUUCUUAAACGAUACGCUACUGAUCCUUUAGGAAUUUCGAAUGAUGAAUUGGCAGAAAUAGGAGGAUCAACCGGUUGGUAUAAAGAUUCAGUAUUAAGGUUGAUGCAGUCCAGUAAUUUGUUAAUAGAAGAUGUUAGAAAAGCUCUUCAAUCAAGUGAAGGAAGUCAUGCAAAGGAAAUAUUAGAAGCCAUUCAGGAUCUUUAAUCAUAAUACAUAUCAAAAUCCUCAGAGACUAUACGCCAAACUCCGAUUUAAUCGGGGAUGAUAUAGUCCGAACUUUGAUGCGAAUCAAAGAGUCUGCUUUUUAUAUAAAGCAGGAAUAACAGAAAAGUCUAUGGUAAAGUUCCGACCCGCACGAAAGGUAGAAUGACAUAGUGACUGUCUUAAACUGCUACCCGGCGAAAUUGAAAUGGCUGUGAAGAUGCGGCCUACUCACACAUGGACAAAAAGACCCCGUGAAGCUUUACUGCAACUUGGCACUGAGGACUUUAUUUUAACUGUCGAGCAUAGGUGGGAGCGGUCUCGGGGGGAAUUCUUUCUAUAAAUCAUGUGCUAAUCAUGGUAUUCAUCACGUGCUCAUCAGCUUCUCUGAUAAACACAUGAGAACUUACAUGAUGAGCACAUGAAUUUGUGGACAGGACUCUCUCCGGGAUCACAACAGUGAAAUACCACUCUUUACCAUGAAGGAAUCUUACUUACCCCGACAUAAAAAUCUCGGGGGAGGACACUGUCUGGUGGGCAGUUUAACUGGGGAGGUUGCCUCCUAAAUUGCAACGGAGGCGUACAAAGGUCAGCUAACUCUGAAUGGAAACCAGAGCCUGUCGUGCAAACGCGAGAAGCUGGCUUGACUGCGAGACGUACAGGUCGAGCAGAUACGAAAGUAGGUGUUAGUGAUCCUCGGUUCCCUCGUGGGAGGGACCGGGCUUAACGGAUAAAAGCUACUCCGGGGAUAACAGGCUGAUCGCUUCCGAGAGUCCAUAUCGACGAGGCGGUUUGGCACCUCGAUGUCGGCUCCCCGCAAAGUGCGGGGUGGGCCCCUUACUUAAGUAAUUGGUAAGGAAAAUUUAGCUCAUAACGGUGGAACCCUCGUACAUAGUCUUUCUCUAGUAUACUUUGAUAUACUUUAUGUAUGGGCAAUACCGUGGGAAGUCGAGGAGUUUUAACGCAAAGACAAAAGGAAAUUCUUAUCGGUACAGUAUUAGGAGACGCAUAUCUUGAAAAGAACGGAAGAUAUACCCGUGUUCGGAUCGAUCAUUAUGACAAACACAAAACGUAUAUUUUCUGGUUAGCACAAGAAUUUUUACCGUUUUCUUUGAAACCUCGGCACAUUGUCGAGACGGAUAAGAGAAACGGUAAACAGUAUUCUCGAUGGUAUUUUUCGACAAAAAGUUUGCCGAUAUUUGAUGAAUUUCGAGAACUAUUUUAUCGAAACGGAAAGAAGAUUAUCUCUCCAUUACUGGUCAAGAUUUUAUCUCCUUUGUCUUUAGCGAUUUGGUAUAUGGAUGACGGUUUUCGAAGACAAGAUUCUAAAGGUUUUUAUCUUUGCACGUCGUCUUUUACCGAGGAAGAACAAAAGGCAUUACAGGAAAUUUUACAAGCAAGGUUUUCGUUGACAACGAGAAUUCAUCACCAGCAUGAGUUGGGGAGAAUUUUUAUACCGUCCGCUUAUGCGGAUAGAUUCAAUGAAAUUAUUAAACCUUUCAUUCUUCCGGAAUUUCAGUAUAAACUCCUUUGACCCCGUAACGACUUUUCAUCCCGAUUGGAUCGGGAUUGAAGGAUCCCGACGAACGUCGGGAUAACACGCUAAGCCCCAGUCAUUAUGUCGCUAUCGCGACACCGACUGGGUGAUGGUAUAGUCUAGCCCUCAUGGAAACAUGAGAUACGGUUGCAUCCUAUCCUGGGGGUGGAGAAGCUCCCAAGGGUCCGGCUGUUCGCCGGUUAAAAGGGUACGCGAGCUGGGUUCAGAACGUCGUGAGACAGUAGACCUUAACGGUUUGACGCCGUUAUAACGAGCUGUCCGCUUUCAGAUGUUCAUUUUGAACUGCAUCGAGAUACGAAUAACUGUUAUAUAUUAAAAGCACCCAGCCCCUCGCGAGGAGCUGGGUAAAUCUGACUAAAUGCUGGAAACUCCGAGCAUCGUGUGAUACUAUAGAUUAUAGAGAUAGAUUAAUCUCUAUAAUUAUGAGUGACAAUUCAUCACGUGCGGACAAUCAGCAGGUAAGCAGGAAUGUUCAUGAUGACUAUUUUUCUGGUUUUGUUGAUGGAGAAGGAUGUUUUUAUGUAGGGUUUGGUAAACGAAGUGAUUUACCGUUAGGAUGGCAAAUUAUAACGGAAUUUCAUGUCAGCCAAAAUCCUGGAAGCAAAAGUGUCUUAGAAAUGCUGCAAAAGCGGUUAGGAUGCGGAUAUUUGAAACCAAAUCACGCCGCGAGUAGGAGCGACAAGACAUGGAUUUUGAUCGUAAAAGAAAGAAAAGAUCUUAUAUCAAAGGUCAUUCCGUUUUUUGAUCAUUAUCCGCUACAAACAACAAAACAUACUGAUUACCGUAUAUUUAAAAAGGUAAUCGAAAUGAUUGAGAAAAAGCGUCAUCUGAAAAAAGAGGGAUUUCGAGAUAUCGUCAAUUUGGUUUUUUCAAAUAAGAGAGAAACAAACAAGCGAUAUACAAAGAAAAUGCUUCUUCAUUUUUGACACCUCAGAGACUAUAUGUCAGACCCAGAUAUCAUGUCCCGCUGCGGGACACCAUCCGGGAAGAUAUAGUCCGAACUCAUAGGCGACUAUGAGACUACAACAGAAAUGUUUGUGGACCGUUUUAUUUAUAAACGGGUUAACAUAAUUGUCGGUCUCUAUCCUGUGUGAGCGUUUUGAUUCUUGAGGGGAGCUCUCUCCAGUACGAGAGGACCGAGAGGGACAGAUCCCUGGUGUGCCUGUUGUCAGCCUGAGCGCUGGCAUCGCAGGGUAGCUAGAUCUGGAAGGGAUAAGUGCUGAAAGCAUCUCAAGUACCAAGCCCACCCCAAGAUGAAGAAUCAGUGUGAGGUCCGUUGUAGAUUACAACGUUGAUAGGCGAGGAGUGUACGCACCGCAAGGUGUUUAGCUUACUCGUACUAAUAGACCCAUCCUGCGGAGAAC
rfam:Microgenomates bacterium GW2011_GWC1_43_11 TV63_C0033, whole genome shotgun sequence.